UGAACGCUGGCGGUAUGCUUAACACAUGCAAGUCGAACGGUAACAGCAGAAGCUUGCUUCUGGCUGACGAGUGGCGGACGGGUGAGUAACGCGUAGGAAUCUGCCUGAUAGCGGGGGACAACUUGGGGAAACCCAAGCUAAUACCGCAUACGCCCUACGGGGGAAAGCGGGGGCCAUUAGGCCUCGCACUAUCAGAUGAGCCUGCGUCGGAUUAGCUAGUUGGUAGGGUAAAAGCCUACCAAGGCAACGAUCCGUAGCUGUUCUGAGAGGAAGAUCAGCCACACUGGGACUGAGACACGGCCCAGACUCCUACGGGAGGCAGCAGUGGGGAAUAUUGGACAAUGGGGGCAACCCUGAUCCAGCAAUACCGCGUGUGUGAAGAAGGCCUGCGGGUUGUAAAGCACUUUCAAUUGGGAAGAAAAGGUUGAGGUUAAUACCCUUGAUUCUUGACGUUACCAUUAGAAGAAGCACCGGCUAACUCC
rnacentral:rRNA from 1 species